AUUGACUGUGAUGAGCCCAAUACAGACCUGUAAUGAUUUGCGAAAAUGAUCGCAUUUUAUGAACAUCUAAGGGACUGAGUCAUAUUCUAUAUUUUAUAAUUUGUGGCUUCCUAAAAAUUUGAAUGACGAUUUGGUAAAACUGUUCCAAGGUUGUAUGGAUUGAAGCCUAGAAAAAAUGUUCCCCUCGCUAUCCGGUGCUGCUUUUGAUGUUGUGUUUGGACGUUGGGAAACUACAUUU
rnacentral:lncRNA from 1 species